rnacentral:lncRNA from 1 species
AGCAGCAUGACUCUCACAUGUGCUGCCAGAGAUGAGUUUUGCUUGGAUCAUAAGGGCACCAGUCACCCGGCCUGUGCAGGCCCUCCCCGCGAAAAACACACCCUGCCCAGGGGUCCUGGCCUGGCCGCCUGGGAGGAAGGAGAGAUGAGGAGGACCCCCGGGUGCUAGGCUCUGCCCUGGGCGCCCCUUCCCCGCGCCCCAGCCGCCGAGUCUGCAGCAGCCAAACGCCCUUCCCAAGCCCCCGCCUCCAGCUCCCACCCUGCCGCUUCCCGGGGAGAGCCCGAAAGGUGAGCUCCCGGGAGGCCGCCCGCGCUCCGGCGGCGGCCCGCUUGGCAAACAAUAACAGUAAAUAACGCUCCCUUGUCAACGUAAUAAAAACGGAAACGGUUACAAUGUUUUUUAAUAAGCGUCCCCCAUCAAUCUCCCGCCCUCCCGGGCGGUGCGUACGGAGCGAGGGGGCGCGGAGACGGGGGAAGGAGGGGGCCACCAGGGCGCGCUGGAUGGGGGGCCCGGGGUGCUAGAGGAGGAGGACGCCGGGGGGAAGAAGGGAAAACACAGCAAGUGAGAGACGAGGGGGCGCGAGCGGCCGGGGUCACGCGCGCCAGCCGAGCCGGGAAGCGGCCGCGGUGAGUAACACCGUUGCCAUGGCGACGUGGCCGCGAGGAACAGGAAGCUGCAGAAAUAGCAGCCGCCGCGGCCGCGCGGCCGGGUCCCUCCGCCCGCG